GAUGAACGCUAGCUACAGGCUUAACACAUGCAAGUCGAGGGGAAACAACAUCGAAAGCUUGCUUUUGAUGGGCGUCGACCGGCGCACGGGUGAGUAACGCGUAUCCAACCUGCCCACCACUUGGGGAUAACCUUGCGAAAGUAAGACUAAUACCCGAUGAUAUCUCUAGAAGACAUCUGAAAGGGAUUAAAGAUUUAUCGGUGAUGGAUGGGGAUGCGUCUGAUUAGCUUGUUGGCGGGGUAACGGCCCACCAAGGCAACGAUCAGUAGGGGUUCUGAGAGGAAGGUCCCCCACAUUGGAACUGAGACACGGUCCAAAACUCCUACGGGAGGCAGCAGUGGGGAAUCUUCCGCAAUGGGGCGAAAGCCCUGACGGAGCAACGCCGCG
rnacentral:rRNA from 1 species